AAGAGCUGCUGUCCGUGACAUUAUCUCAAAACAGAAACAGCACGCAAAGACAAACAGCAUUUUGAUUCUCCCACAAUUUUAGUCUGGUGAAAAGCAUUAUGAAGGAAAUUCUGCUUUGCUGCUUUCUAGCGGUCUUGUUUUGGACUUCUGCGUGUAGUGCAGCAGUUUUAGAACAGGAAGGAAUUGUGAGUGACGAAGACCCAAGAACUUAUCUUCAUGGACGACAGUAUACAUUUGAGGAUUUGUUUAUAACCCGAUAUUACCGUUGAUGCAAAAUAUAAAAGGAUGAGCUGUGGAAAACGACGACAGAAAUGAUAAUUUUGAUAUUUUUCAAUGUGUACGAAACUACUGUGAAGAAUUAUGGACAGUCAACGUGUAUUCAGUGAGAUAUAAAAGAAAUUUUCAAAUUAUCCUAAAGUCUCAAGAGCUGGUGUUUCGGUGAAACAAUUCUUGAUUCUGUGUGUAGCACAAAGAAUAAAAUGCUCAAUUUUUAUCUAAAAUAUUUGUAAAGGCUUAUUUAUUACCAUAAAUUUAUGCUUUGUAAUGUUAAGCAUGUUUAAAUGUAUGUGAAUGUUUUAUGCGAAUAAUAUUCCCAUAUGCAUGAUAACAAAAUUCAUCUGAUCUACACAAAUGAUUUGACAGUGUAUCUAUUUAUGAAAAGCGUAUUAAUAAAAUGAAAAGUAUUAAAAUUA